rnacentral:rRNA from 1 species
UACGAAGGGGGCUAGCGUUGCUCGGAAUUACUGGGCGUAAAGGGCGCGUAGGCGGCACUGUUAGUCAGGCGUGAAAGUCCUGGGCUCAACCUGGGAACUGCGCUUGAUACGGCAGAGCUAGAGGAUGGAAGAGGGUCGCGGAAUUCCCAGUGUAGAGGUGAAAUUCGUAGAUAUUGGGAAGAACACCGGUGGCGAAGGCGAUCUUCUGGACGGAUACUGACGCUGAGGCGCGAAAGCUAGGGGAGCAAACGGG